GUGCAGCCGCCGCGUUAAUACAUAGUUUGCAAACGUUGUUCGGAAUCACUGGGCAUAAAGCGCGCGUAGGCGGUUGAGUCAGUCGGAUGUGAAAGCCCUCAGCUUAACCGAGGAACUGCGUCCGAUACUGCUCGACUUGAGGUCUGGAGGGGAGAACGGAAUUCCUGGUGGAGCGGUGAAAUGCGUAGAGAUCAGGAGGAACGCCAGCGGCGAAAGCGGUUCUCUGGACAGAUUCUGACGCUGAGGUGCGAAAGCUAGGGGAGCAAACGGGAUUAGAUA
rnacentral:rRNA from 1 species